rnacentral:rRNA from 1 species
AUUGAACGCUGGCGGCAGGCCUAACACAUGCAAGUCGAACGAGUGGCGGACGGGUGAGUAUUGUCUGGGAAACUGCCCGAUGGAGGGGGAUAACUACUGGAAACGGUAGCUAAUACCGCAUACCUUCUGAUGUGCCCUGAUGGGAUUAGCUAGUAGGUGGGGUAACGGCCCACCUAGGCGACGAUCCCUAGCUGGUCUGAGAGGAUGACCAGCCACGCUGGAAAGGAGACAAGGUCCAGAAUCGUACGGGAGGCAGCAGUGGGGAAUAUUGGACAAUGGGCGCAAGCCUGAUGCAGGCAUGCCGCGAGUAUGAAGAAGGCCUUCGGGUUGUAAAGUACUUUCAGCGAGGAGGCGUGACUCGAAGAAGAAGCACCGGCUAACUCCGUGCCAGCCGCCGCGGUAAUAC